rnacentral:lncRNA from 1 species
UAAAUUGACCAUUUGGAGUCUCAGCCAAAUGCUGACAGAAUUCCAGGUACGGAACCAGUGCUUCUUUUGGCCAAGAGGAGACCAGUGCAACAAAGCCCCUGGAUGUCAGCAGUAGAAAGUCCCAGGCCUACUUGAUCUUGUCCAUUUGGCACUGCUGGAGGAAUAACAAGUUUCUUCCCAUCAUGCACCAUUCUGGGAUACAUCAUGACAGAGAAAUCUCAAAGCCCAGGUCAA